AUGGCGGAGCUCGAGCAACGACUGGUGCGGCAAGCCAGCCAGCCAGCGCUCGAGCAAGCAAGGAGGGGCCAGCCAAGCCAUGCGGAGCUGGCGGUGGGGCUGGCCAAGUCGGUGGUGGAGGGGACGCUGAGCAAGGCGCACGCGGCGGUGCAGGAGGAGGCCUUCCUCAGCGCGCGCCGCGACCUCGUCUCCAUCACGGGGGAGUUAGAGAUGAUGCUGGUGUUCAAGGCCAGGGUCGCCGACGUCAGCACCACCUGCUCCGUCCAGCUGGUUCUGCAGACCUCACCGUAUAGCUGGUGUUCAGGUGCCUAG
rnacentral:rRNA from 1 species